rnacentral:rRNA from 1 species
AGGCUUUGAUCCUGGCUCAGGAUGAACGCUGGCGGUCUGCUUAACACAUGCAAGUCGAACGGUGAACCUUCGGGUUCAUAGUGGCGGACGGGUGAGUAACACGUGAGAAUCUGCCUCCAGGUCGGGGACAACAGUGGGAAACUGCUGCUAAUACCCGAUGUGCCGAAGGGUGAAAGAUUUAUUGCCUGGAGAUGAGCUCGCGUCCGAUUAGCUAGUUGGUAAGGUAAAGGCUUACCAAGGCUCCGAUCGGUAGCUGGUCUGAGAGGAUGAGCAGCCACACUGGGACUGAGACACGGCCCAGACUCCUACGGGAGGCAGCAGUGGGGAAUUUUCCGCAAUGGGCGAAAGCCUGACGGAGCAAGACCGCGUGGGGGAUGAAGGCUCUUGGGUUGUAAACCCCUUUUCUCAGGGAAGAAGUUCUGACGGUACCUGAGGAAUCAGCAUCGGCUA